CUGAAAUCAAGAAUUGGACACUUAACCGACUGAGCCACCCAGACACCCCAUCAGUUGGGGUCUUGAGAUGAGAUAUAGCAAAUCAGCUGUUCACCUGGCAACCCUUCUUUUGUAGACUUCCCCAGGAAGAGAGGCCCGACCCGGAAAUAAGGAAGGAGUUCUUCCCAGAACUAGAUUCUCUCAGAAGUGGGUCCAGGUGGCACAAGGGUAGAAACCCUCAAUUGUCCCUUCAGGAUGGAAGGACUCAUGAUCCCAGUUUCUGAGAAGGCUGUUGGCUGACGACAGUCUUUGGGUCCUUUGUUUAACCACCUCCGCUGAAGGUACUUGCCUCUCCCAAGUUAGCAGCCCGCAUCCAACGACUAAUGGAUAGUGGGUAGAAAUAUCUCUCUCUCUCUCCCCAAAUUAGGACAGCCCUGAAUAGUUCCCUGAACUUCCAUGUUCCGCAGGGAUCGUCUGAAACUCCCACUGACGCUGUAUCACAACAUACAUUUUACUUUUACACAAUCCUACAUCUUUUUUCUUCCCCUCCACAGAUUUUGAUCCUAAGAGCACUCCCUCAUUAACUUCCUGCAUUGAAGUCUGUUUCAGGAUCUGCUUUCAGGGAAACCCAAAUUGCAACAGUGUCCUAAUUAUUUUCCUGGCCACCUUGCCCCUUCCUUGGCUCUAAUCCACGUGAGACACUGUGGUGAUAGAACAUCAUUGUUUAAAGUAAGCUGCACAACUGCCAAAGCCACACCAUUCACGCUUCCCAUGGACAUAAUGAGAAGGAUCCGAAGAUGCCAAUCUCUGGUUGUGACAAGACCAUCAAGACUCAAGCAUUAACUUUCCGUUGAUUAUCUGAUUGCGCUGGACCUAGAAGCCUGUCGCUCAGUAUGGACCCUACCUACUCUUUGGUUUUGUAGUUCCUUUGCUGGUACAGAUGGUGGUAAUAAAAUUCCUGAUUGGCUGUGGGCCA
ensembl:lncRNA